rnacentral:rRNA from 1 species
AACGAACGCUGGCGGCAGGCCUAACACAUGCAAGUCGAGCGCCCCGCAAGGGGAGCGGCGGACGGGUGAGUAACGCGUGGGAACGUGCCUCUUGCUACGGAAUAGCCUCGGGAAACUGGGAGUAAUACCGUAUGUGCCCUACGGGGGAAAGAUUUAUCGGCAAGAGAUCGGCCCGCGUUGGAUUAGGUAGUUGGUGGGGUAAUGGCCUACCAAGCCGACGAUCCAUAGCUGGUUUGAGAGGAUGGUCAGCCACACUGGGACUGAGACACGGCCCAGACUCCUACGGGAGGCAGCAGUGGGGAAUCUUAGACAAUGGGCGCAAGCCUGAUCUAGCCAUGCCGCGUGAGCGAUGAAGGCCUUAGGGUUGUAAAGCUCUUUCAGUGGGGAAGAUAAUGACUGUACCCACAGAAGAAGCCCCGGCUAACUCCGUGCCAGCAGCCGCGGUAAUGUAUCG